UAGAAUAUACUUUCAGGGAUUAUUUCUACAGUUCAUUACUAGAGAAGUUUCUUGGAUCCCGCAGAGCACCCAAAACCAUGAGGGGAGCCAGAGGAUCAUCUCCUGAGCAUGAAACUUGUUCUAGGUGUUGCUUUUACAGCUGCCUUUUACCACUGAUGAUCAUUUUUUCUCUUCCCUAGGAGAGGGAGAGGAUGCAGUCUGAGCGG
rnacentral:snoRNA from 1 species